rnacentral:lncRNA from 1 species
GUACAUUUGAAAACAUAACUUAAGCCCCCUUAUAUAGGCAAGCCUCCAAGCUACUCUUCAACAUUUUUGCAAUGUGGGACAAUGACCAUUCUCAUUUUUAAGCAAAAUCCCAACAGAUAUGACUAGGUCUUGUCCUUGACGAGAACAGCAACCUCGUGGAUUCUUAUAGCCGCAUGUGAAGGGAAAAACUCAUGCAAAAAGAUAGUGUUGUAAAUAAUUAGCAUAAAACCAAUUGUAAAUGGUGAGCGACAUCUACCUGUAGUGUAACAACAGUACGUGAACUUCUAAACAUGUUAGGAUAUAUUCUAGUCACUUCGUUCUUAACAGAUCUAGCUCAUGCCUAUGAUUAGAUUUUCUGGAAAUUGAAGACAUGAUCAUCAAACAGGUAUUAAAACACACAAGAUGAGCUACAGAAAUAGAUCAUGGUUGUAUAUGCAUAAUACAUCCAUAAAAGCAGUAUGCGACAGAAGGCGGUGCAGCAAGUUAUUCCGUUAAUGGUAUCCCAGUUUUGAUGCAUUGUCAUACCAUCUAUGGAUGCAGUUUAAAGAUCUCUUAUAAGACCAAUCUAUACAUAUGGACUACUUGCAAAGUGAACAAUGAAAUAGAAAAUCUCAACAGAACUUACACACUUGUCGU